GACGAACGCUGGCGGCGUGCUUAACACAUGCAAGUCGAACGGAAAGGCCCUGCUUUUGUGGGGUGCUCGAGUGGCGAACGGGUGAGUAACACGUGAGUAACCUGCCCUUGACUUUGGGAUAACUUCAGGAAACUGGGGCUAAUACCGGAUAGGAGCUCCUGCUGCAUGGUGGGGGUUGGAAAGUUUCGGCGGUUGGGGAUGGACUCGCGGCUUAUCAGCUUGUUGGUGGGGUAGUGGCUUACCAAGGCUUUGACGGGUAGCCGGCCUGAGAGGGUGACCGGAGAGAUGGGGGUGAUGAUGAGAGACGGGUGCGUGCGGGGGGCAGGAGGGGGGGAGGGCGGACACGGGGCGUCGGCCUUCUGCAGCAACGCCGCGGGUGAGAGGGGGGGCUUGAGUUUGGAGACCACGUACGCCUAGGAAAAAGAGUGAGUAGCGUCGAGGGGUAGAGAAAAACGACCUCGCUACAAC
rnacentral:rRNA from 1 species